rnacentral:rRNA from 1 species
UUAACGCUGAGGUGUGAUGACGAGGCACUACGGUGCUGAAGCAACAAAUGCCCUGCUUCCAGGAAAAGCCUCUAAGCAUCAGGUAACAUCAAAUCGUACCCCAAACCGACACAGGUGGUCAGGUAGAGAAUACCAAGGCGCUUGAGAGAACUCGGGUGAAGGAACUAGGCAAAAUGGUGCCGUAACUUCGGGAGAAGGCACGCUGAUAUGUAGGUGAAGCCCCUGCGGGUGGAGCUGAAAUCAGUCGAAGAUACCAGCUGGCUGCAACUGUUUAUUAAAAACACAGCACUGUGCAAACACGAAAGUGGACGUAUACGGUGUGACGCCUGCCCGGUGCCGGAAGGUUAAUUGAUGGGGUUAGCGGCAACGCGAAGCUCUUGAUCGAAGCCCCGGUAAACGGCGGCCGUAACUAUAACGGUCCUAAGGUAGCGAAAUUCCUUGUCGGGUAAGUUCCGACCUGCACGAAUGGCGUAAUGAUGGCCAGGCUGUCUCCACCCGAGACUCAGUGAAAUUGAAAUCGCUGUGAAGAUGCAGUGUACCCGCGGCAAGACGGAAAGACCCCGUGAACCUUUACUAUAGCUUGACACUGAACACUGGUCCUUGAUGUGUAGGAUAGGUGGGAGGCUUUGAAGCGUGGACGCCAGUCUGCGUGGAGCCAUCCUUGAAAUACCACCCUUUAAUGGCUGGUGUUCUAACGUGGACCCGUUAUCCGGGUUGCGGACAGUGUCUGGUGGGUAGUUUGACUGGGGCGGUCUCCUCCUAAAGAGUAACGGAGGAGCACGAAGGUUAGCUAAUCCUGGUCGGACAUCAGGAGGUUAGUGCAAUGGCAUAAGCUA